rnacentral:rRNA from 1 species
UACGUAGGGGGCAAGCGUUGUCCGGAUUUAUUGGGCGUAAAGAAGCGUGUAGGCGGCCAUACAGGUUCAGCUGUGAAAACGUCGAGGCCUCAAGCCUCCGAGACGUCGGUUGAAACCGUAUGGCUAGAGUCCGGAAGAGGAGAGUGGAAUUCCCGGUGUAGCGGUGAAAUGACGCAGAUAUCGGGAAGAACACCCGUGGCGAAGGCGGCUCUCUGGGACGGUACUGACGCUGAGACGCGAAAGCGUGGGAGCGAACGAGG